rnacentral:rRNA from 1 species
UACAGAGGGUGCGAGCGUUAAUCGGAAUUACUGGGCGUAAAGCGCGCGUAGGCGGCUUUGCAAGUCGGGUGUGGAAAUCCCCAGGCCUAACCUGGGAACUGCAUUCGAGACUGCAUGGCUGGAGUAUGGGAGAGGGAAGUGGAAUUUCAGGUGUAGCGGUGAAAAUGCGUAGAUAUCUGAAGGAACAUCAGUGGCGAAAAGCGACUUCCUGGACCAAUACUGACGCUCAUGUGCGAAAAGCGUGGGGAGCAAACAGG